rnacentral:rRNA from 1 species
AACGCGAAGAACCUUACCUGGGCUCGAAGUGCUACUGACCAGCGGCAGAAACGUCGCCUUCUCGCAAGAGACAGUAGUAGAGGUGCUGCAUGGCUGUCGUCAGCUCGUGCCGUGAGAUGUUGGGUUAAGUCCCGCAACGAGCGCAACCCUUAUCGUUAGUUGCCAGCGGGUUAUGCCGGGCACUCUAGCGAAACCGCCCGGAUAACGGGGAGGAAGGUGGGGAUGACGUCAAGUCCUCAUGGCCUUUAUGUCCAGGGCUACACACGUGCUACAAUGGCCGGUACAAACCGUCGCAAACCCGCGAGGGGGAGCUAAUCGGAAAAAGCCGGCCUCAGUUCGGAUUGGAGUCUGCAACCCGACUCCAUGAAGCUGGAAUCGCUAGUAAUCGCAGAUCAGCACGCUGCGGUGAAUACGUUCCCGGGCCUUGUACACACCGGCUAC